rnacentral:piRNA from 1 species
UAGAACAACACUCAUGAGCUAGGGGCACU